rnacentral:rRNA from 1 species
GCAGUCUGCAACUCGACUGCGUGAAGGUGGAGUCGCUAGUAAUCGCGGAUCAGCAACGCCGCGGUGAAUGCGUUCCCGGGCCUUGUACACACCGCCCGUCAAGUCAUGAAAGUGGGCAGCACCCGAAGACGGUGGCCUAACCCUUGUGGGGGGAGCCGUCUAAGGUGAGGCUCGUGAUUGGGACUAAGUCGUAACAAGGUAAC